rnacentral:rRNA from 1 species
GACAGAGGGUGCAAACGUUGUUCGGAAUUACUGGGCGUAAAGCGCGUGUAGGCUGUCUCGAAAGUCGGAUGUGAAAGCCCUGGGCUCAACCUAGGAAGUGCAUUCGAAACUUCGAGACUCGAGUCCUGGAGAGGAUCGCGGAAUUCUCGGUGUAGAGGUGAAAUUCGUAGAUAUCGAGAGGAACACCGGUGGCGAAGGUGGCGAUCUGGACAGUGACUGACGCUGAGACGCGAAAGCGUGGGGAGCGAACAGG